rnacentral:tRNA from 1 species
GGGAAUGUGUCUCAGUGGUAGAACAUGGACCUGGCGUGUCCCAGGCUCUGGGUUCAGUCCUCAGCACCACCA